rnacentral:rRNA from 1 species
ACUCGAGUGGCGAACGGGUGAGUAACACGUGGGUGAUCUGCCCUGCACUCUGGGAUAAGCCUGGGAAACUGGGUCUAAUACCGGAUAGGACCAUGCUUUAGUGUGUGUGGUGGAAAGUUUUUCGGUGUAGGAUGAGCCCGCGGCCUAUCAGCUUGUUGGUGGGAUAAUGGCCUACCAAGGCGGCGACGGGUAGCCGGACUGAGAGGUUGGUCGGCCACAUUGGGACUGAGAUACGGCCCAG